rnacentral:rRNA from 1 species
AGAGUUUGAUCCUGGCUCAGAUUGAACGCUGGCGGCAGGCCUAACACAUGCAAGUCGAGCGGAAACGAUGGAGUGCUUGCACUCCAGGCGUCGAGCGGCGGACGGGUGAGUAAUACUUGGGAAUCUGCCUGAGGGCGGGGGACAACCACUGGAAACGGUGGCUAAUACCGCAUAAUGUCUACGGACCAAAGUGUGGGACCUACGGGCCACACGCCUUCAGAUGAGCCCAAGCGAGAUUAGGUAGUUGGUGGGGUAAAGGCCUACCAAGCCGACGAUCUCUAGCUGGUUUGAGAGGAUGAUCAGCCACACUGGGACUGAGACACGGCCCAGACUCCUACGGGAGGCAGCAGUGGGGAAUAUUGGACAAUGGGGGCAACCCUGAUCCAGCCAUGCCGCGUGUGUGAAGAAGGCCUUCGGGUUGUAAAGCACUUUCAGUGGUGAGGAAGGCGUUGUCGUUAAUAGCGGCGACGAUUGACGUUAGCCACAGAAGAAGCACCGGCUAACUCCGUGCCAGCAGCCGCGGUAAUACGGAGGGUGCGAGCGUUAAUCGGAAUUACUGGGCGUAAAGCGCACGUAGGCGGUUUGUUAAGCAAGAUGUGAAAGCCCAGAGCUCAACUCUGGAAUAGCAUUUUGAACUGGCAGGCUAGAGUUUUGGAGAGGGUGGUAGAAUUUCCAGUGUAGCGG